CCUACGGGAGGCAGCAGUGAGGAAUAUUGGUCAAUGGACGAGAGUCUGAACCAGCCAAGUAGCGUGAAGGAUGACUGCCCUAUGGGUUGUAAACUUCUUUUAUAAAGGAAUAAAACGAGGCACGUGUGCCUUUUUGCAUGUACUUUAUGAAUAAGGAUCGGCUAACUCCGUGCGAGCAGCCGCGGUAAUACGGAGGAUCCGAGCGUUAUCCGGAUGUAUGGGGUUUAAAGGGAGCGUAGAUGGGUUGUUAAGUCAGUUGUGAAAGUUUGCGGCUCAACCGGAAAAUUGCAAUUGAUACUGGGAGUCUUGAGUACAGGUGAGGCAGGGGGAAUUCGUGGGGUAGCGGUGAAAUGCGUAGAUAUGACGAAGAACCCGGAGUGCGAAGGCAGCUUACUAAACUGUGACUGA
rnacentral:rRNA from 1 species